GGCAGACUGGUGGUAAUGGUAGCCCGCGAGCCCCAUAAGCUCGAGAUUCUGGUUCGACUCCAGAGUCUGCCCCCCA
rnacentral:tRNA from 1 species